rnacentral:lncRNA from 1 species
UCUUCAUUUCAUGUUAAGGCUCUUUUUAGGAAUAACUUUUCUUUGUUAUAUGUUAAGGUUAAUUGUGUAUGUUCUAUAUUAUAUGGUUUUACUUGUUCUAACCAUUUUAUUCCUAAUAUUAUAUCUGCUUUUUGCAUUUCUUCCUUUACUUCGAAUUCUAUUUUUAUUUUUCUAACUCCUAAUAUUAUUUCUUUUUCUGCUAUAUUUUUAUUAUUUAUUAAACUUCUUGGUAGAUCUGGGCAUAUAUCAUUGUCAGUUUUUAUGUCUUCAUUUUUU